UCGGGAAUAUUGCGCAAUGGAGGAAACUCUGACGCAGUGACGCCGCGUGCAGGAAGAAGGUUUUCGGAUUGUAAACUGCUUUAGACAGGGAAGAAAAAAGACAGUACCUGUAGAAUAAGCUCCGGCUAACUACGUGCCAGCAGCCGCGGUAAUACGUAGGGGCGAAGCGUUAUCCGGAUUUAUUGGGUGUAAAGGGUGCGUAGACGGAGAAGCAAGUUAGUUGUGAAAUCCCUCGGCUUAACCGAGGAGCUGCAACUAAAACUACUUCCCUUGAGUGCUGGAGAGGAAAGUGGAAUUCCUAGUGUAGCGGUGAAAUGCGUAGAUAUUAGGAGGAACACCAGUGGCGAAGGCGACUUUCUGGACAGUAACUGACGUUGAGGCACGAAAGUGUGGGGAGCAAACAGGAUUAGAUACC
rnacentral:rRNA from 1 species